AGCGAACGCUGGCGGCAGGCCUAACACAUGCAAGUCGAACGGACCCUUCGGGGUUAGUGGCGGACGGGUGAGUAACACGUGGGAACGUGCCUUUAGGUUCGGAAUAGCUCCUGGAAACGGGUGGUAAUGCCGAAUGUGCCCUUCGGGGGAAAGAUUUAUCGCCUUUAGAGCGGCCCGCGUCUGAUUAGCUAGUUGGUGAGGUAAUGGCUCACCAAGGCGACGAUCAGUAGCUGGUCUGAGAGGAUGACCAGCCACAUUGGUACUGAGAGACGGCGCAAACUCCUACGGGAGGCAGCAGUGGGGAAUCUUGCGCAAUGGGCGAAAGCCUGACGCAGCCAUGCCGCGUGGAUGAUGAAGGUCUUAGGAUUGUAAAAUCCUUUCACCGGUGAAGAUAAUGACUGUAGCCGGAGAAGAAGCCCCGGCUAACUUCGUGCCAGCCGCCGCGGUAACAC
rnacentral:rRNA from 1 species